UACACUUGCUGACUGGUAGUCUUUGGUGA
rnacentral:piRNA from 1 species